AGAGUUUGAUCCUGGCUCAGGACGAACGCUGGCGGCGUGCUUAACACAUGCAAGUCGAACGGUAAGGCCCUUCGGGGUACACGAGUGGCGAACGGGUGAGUAACACGUGGGUAAUCUGCCCUGCACAUCGGGAUAAGCCUGGGAAACUGGGUCUAAUACCGAAUAGGACCACAGGACACAUGUCCUGUGGUGGAAAGCUUUUGCGGUGUGGGAUGGGCCCGCGGCCUAUCAGCUUGUUGGUGGGGUGAUGGCCUACCAAGGCGACGACGGGUAGCCGGCCUGAGAGGGUGACCGGCCACACUGGGACUGAGAUACGGCCCAGACUCCUACGGGAGGCAGCAGUGGGGAAUAUUGCACAAUGGGCGCAAGCCUGAUGCAGCGACGCCGCGUGAGGGAUGACGGCCUUCGGGUUGUAAACCUCUUUCAGCACAGACGAAGCGCAAGUGACGGUAUGUGCAGAAGAAGGACCGGCCAACUACGUGCCAGCAGCCGCGGUAAUACGUAGGGUCCGAGCGUUGUCCGGAAUUACUGGGCGUAAAGAGCUCGUAGGUGGUUUGUCGCGUUGUUCGUGAAAACUCACAGCUUAACUGUGGGCGUGCGGGCGAUACGGGCAGACUUGAGUACUGCAGGGGAGACUGGAAUUCCUGGUGUAGCGGUGAAAUGCGUAGA
rnacentral:rRNA from 1 species